GCGCUCGUAGCUCAGUAGGAUAGAGCGUCCCCCUCCUAAGGGGAAGGCCGGGGGUUCGAUUCCUCUCGGGCGCA
rnacentral:tRNA from 1 species